AAAAAAAAAAAAAAAAAAAAAGGGUCUUUGCUGUCACAAUUAAGCCUCUCAACAUGAGAUCAUCCUGGAUUGUUUAGAUGGGCCCUAAAUAUCACAACUAGAGUUUUGUUGUUGUUGUUGUUGGUUUGUUUCUUUGUUUUUGUGACGGAGUCUCACUCUAUCACCCGGCUGGAGUGCAGUGGUGUGAUCUUGGCUCACUGCAACCUCCACCUCCCGGGUCCAAGCGACUUUCCUGCCUCACCGUCCUGAGUAGCUGGGAUGACAGGUGCCCCCACCACACCCAGCCUAAUUUUUGUAUUUUUAGUAGAGACGGGGUUUCACCAUGUUGGCCAGGCUGGUCUCGAACUCCUGACCUCAAGCGAACAACUAGCAUUUUUAUAAACUACAGAAGACGGUGGCUAUUCAUCUGCCCCCUCUCUCCUGGGUAUUUGCGUGUCAGGUGCAGAGAUGGAGUCUUCUGAGGGCGCACAUCACAGCGUAGACAGAAAGUUGAGGUUGUACAUGCCGCAGGUUCCAGAUGGAAAUCACUAGUGCCUCCUCUUCUCUCUAAUAGGCACACUAGACACAGCAGGUGCAUUUUGGCGGUGGGAUGAGGUCCGACAGUCACCUUUAUUUUUUAUUUAUGUAUUCAUUAGUAUUAUUAUUUUUUGAGACUGAGUCUUAAACUGUCACCCAGGCUGGAGUGCAGUGGCGGCAUCUCGGCUCACUGCAACCUCCACUUCCCAGGUUCAAGGGAUUCUCCUGCCUCAGCCUCCUGAGUAGCUGGGAUUAUAGGCGCCCAUCACCAUGCCCAGCUAAUUUUUGUAUUUUUAGUAGGGACGGGGUUCGCCAUGUUGGUGAGGCUGGUCUCCAACUCUUUUUUUUUUUUUUUUUUUUUUUUGAGACGGAGUCUCGCUGUCUCCCAGGCUGGAGUUCAGUGCCUCAAUCUCGGCUCACUGCAAGCUCCACCUCCCGUGUUCUCGCCAUUCUCCUGCCUCAGCCUCCCCAGUAGCUGGGACUACAGGCGCCCGCCACCACACCUGGCUAAUUUUUUGUAUUUUUAGCCAUGGGGUUUCACCAUGUUAGCCAGGAUGGUCUCAAUCUCCUGACCUCGUGAUCUGCCUGCCUCGGCCUCCCAAAGUGCUGGGAUUACAGACAUGUGCCACCACGCCUGGCUAAUUUUUUGUAUUUUUAGUAGAGAUGGGGUUUCACCGUGUUGGCCAGGCUGGUCUCGAACUCCUGACCUUGGAUGAUCUGCUCGCCUCGGCCUCCCAAAUUGCUGGGAUGACAGACGUGAACCACCGUGCCUGGCCGACAGUCACCUUUAGAAUGUGAACAGUGGACACUGUGUUGGGGUCUCCUACCUGUGCCUGUGAUGUGGACUGGCCCAUCUCGUCAUGGACAAGUAGAGAUGGGGUUUCACCAUGUUGAGCAGUCUGGUCUUGAACUUCUGACCUCGUGAUCCACCCGCCUCAGCCCCCCAAAGUGCUGGGAUUACAGGCGUGAGCCACCGCGCCCGGCCUGAGACGGCUUUCCAAGGCUGCAGAAAUGAAGUCUGCAAUAGCAGAUCCUCUUUGCCUGGGUUUGCACGUGAUCCAGCAAACCACCCACCGACCCGUUGCCUCAUGUGAGACAUCCUCAGGGAACAGCAAGUCUCGCUGUUCUUGGAAGGGACUUCCAGCCUGGAAAGAAAAGGGAGGGAUAAGAGAGCAUCUGUGGAUCUUCCUGGCAUAUUCCUUCUCCUACAAGAAUUUUGAAGGUCCCUGAUAAGACAUCUUUGAGGUCAGGCAUAAAUCAUCACUUCACAUCUUGACGGCAAUGCAACGAAGACAAGUAUCUGUCUCUUUGGGUCUGUCUAACAAGGAGCAAAGCCUGGCCUCCCACCAGCAUCCAGACAAUAGUGGAUUCCCUCUCCAUAGAUGUCAAAAAAGAAACAGAUGCUCCCGCAGGUGAAAUGAGCUCUGGUCCACAAUGCAACGCAGGCUGUGCAGAAAAUCAAAGAGGAACCAACCCAGAAGUAUCCCCCAGGACAAAUCAUUAAGGGGGAAAAGGUAAGACACUUGUUCUCACUUUGCCUUCUGCCAUGUUUGUAAGUUUCCUGAUGUCUCCUCUGAGCCUCCAGAAGGAACCAAGCCUACUGAUACCUUGAUCUCAGCUGUUGGCCUCCAGAAGUUCGAGAGAACAGACGUCUGCUGUUUCAAGCCACGCAGUUGUUGGUAUUUUUCUACAACAGCAUCUGAAUCCUAAUGCAUGCCCUCUAACUGUGGGAUCGAUUUUGGGGUGCUGAGAUGUGGCCUGUUUCUCCUAUGACCUUCCUUGUGUUUUUAGUGCUCUUGGAAGAAGAGAGAAUUAAGCAUAGAAUACCCACAGAGAGGAAUCUCUCUUUCUUUUUUUUUUUCUUUGAGACAGAGUCUUGCUCUGUCACCAGGCUGGGAGUUCAGUGGCACGAUCUCGGCUCACUGCAACAUCCGUCUCUCAGAUUCAAGCAAUUCUCCUGUCUCAGCCUCCCAAGUAGCAGGGACUACAGGCGCAUGCCACCACGGCCGGCUGAUUUUUUUUUUUUUUUUUUUUUUUUGUAUUUUUAGUAGACAUGGGGUUUCACCAUCUUGUCUAGGAUGGUCUCGAUCUCCUGACCUUGUGAUCUGCCCACCUCAGACUCCCAAAGUGCUGGGAUUGAGGAAUCUUUCAACCCCUUGCUACCUUUCAAAUUGCAUAGGAACAUUGAAAAGAUGAUAAAAUGUGGAGGCUCAAAGAAAACAAGCAGUGUUCAGCAUUCCGAAAGUGGCCUGGUUUGAGGAAAUUAAUUAUUUGGCAUCUCUGAACAAGUGGUGUUUUGGACUCCUAAACUUAAAGAUAAAUACAUAUUGUUUCCUACCCUUCAUUCGUCUUCCUUCUCCUCGCCCGACCCAGAACUCCAAGAAGGCUAAUCUCUUCUGCAAUAUCGUAAUGGCCUUGAAGCAAUCUAACAUCUGUGUUCUUCCUUUCCUCAUCUAUGAAAUUACUUUCAAAUAACCAAAUUAAACAGGAUCUUCCAUUUGGGCUGGAAUGGUAAGAGCGGCAGAGGACAGCAUGUUCCCAUUUAUAAUAGCAGGCACGGAAAUUCAACCAGACUUUGCUGAUCUAAGAGAUGCUCUUGGAAGACCCCAUUACUUAAAUGAUCUAGAAAAUGUCCUCCCGAGUCAAGGACAAUCCAUGUCCAUUUACCUGUGUUCUGUGAGACAGAUGAAGCCUGGACUUCUGCUAUCCUGCCCUUGCUGGGAAUGAGCAGGGUUGUACCUGCACUCAUCAUGGAAUAAGCACUAAAGAAACAAAGCUACAACAGAAGAUGUCCUCUACUGCAGGGCACCUUACAUUCCAAUCCUCCAAUAUGGCAGCGAGUCAAAAUCUCAAAAGACCUGAGUGCCUUCUGCGUAAGUCCCCGUAGGCUUCUAGUAUUCAUUUUACAAGUAUACUGAUGCUCUCAGUUGAUGCUGAGGGGGUGGCUGUUCAUGAAGAUGAUGGAAUUGGCUUCGGCAGAGGUCUCUCUUUGACCAUCUAGAGGCACUGUUGCUUAUCUAUCAGGAAACGGAGGGAGGCACUGGGAAUUUGAACUCGAGCUCUGGAGUUCUUCCAUGCAGCUGUGUUUACGUAUCAUCAAGCACCGAUUCAUUGCCCGUUGGGACAGAGGAGAAUCAGGCCUGGUCUGGCAUCAUUGCCGGGUGGGUGUGAAAUGCCACUUCUACCGAGACCAACUGGAAAUGAAAGAUCGUCAACAGUCAAAAAGGUCACUGCAUAAAUGCCUGUGAAGUCCAAGUAACUGUCAGAGACAGAAUACGCUUUGCAGCGGAGAGUUUUCCAGGAAAGAAAAAUGGUCUCUGUGAAUGUUCUUUGGGAGGCCACGGAUGGCUUGUUCUGAAGUGAAUGGAAUUGCUUUGCAGAAGACGCAUAGCCAGGCUGAGUUCAGGAGGUAUCUCUUUUUUUUUUUUUUUUUUUUUUUGAGACGGAGUCUCGCUCUGUUGCCCAGGCUGGAGUGCAGUGGCACAAUCUCAGCUCACUGCAACCUCUGCUUCCCGGGUUCAAGCAAUUCUCCUGUCUCCACCUCCCGAGUAGCUGGCAUUACAGGCACUGCCACCAAGCCUGGCUAAUUUUUGUAUUUUUAGUAGAGAUGGAGUUUCACGAUGUUGGCCAGGCUAGUCUCGAACUCCUGACCUCAAGUGAUCCACCCACCUCAGCCUCUCAAAGUGCUGGGAUAACAGACGUGAGCCACUGCACCCGGCCCAGGAGGUGUCUUAAUCCAUUUGCUGUUGCUACAACAGAGUAACACCGUCUGGGUAAUUCACAGAAGAAGUUUAUUUUGUAAAGUCCUGGAGGCUGGCAAGUCCAAAAGGCAUGGUGCCUGCAUCUGAUGAGAGCCUCUUGCUAUAGUACAACAUAGUGGAGGACUUAUAAUGCCACCAGCUCUGUCCAUGUGGGCCUCGCUUUGAUGAUCUUACCUAAUUCUAAUUGUCUCCUAAGGGUGCCACUCCAAAUACUACAACAUACUAAUUUGAGAGAGAAGUUUCCAACACAUGAAGCUUGGGAGACACAAACCAUACAGGGUGGAGUCAAGACGGCUUGUUUAAUUCGGCCAACUUGAGCAAAGAGGCAUAAUGGUUAUUGCCUCUCUGGGUUCACUAAACACAUAAACAUGCCCACACUAAUAAUUCAUGUCGACCGCAGUACUCUCUGCUUUUCCUGAAUAGCAUAUUGUGUUGAACAGGUUAUACGACCUUGGGUAGAGACUUAGCUCUCUUUAAGCCUCCAUUUCUCAUCUGUAAAAUGAGAAUGAAAGAUGGUUUCUCCGUAUUUAUGGAAGGGUUCCAACAAGGUAAAGUGUGUAGCGUACUUUGUCAAUUCUAAAGCACUCUUCUGAUAUAAAUUAUAGCAUCCCCGGAUUCAUUGUUUGAGUUGGUUUCUUUUUUAAAAUUAAUUUCUGUUGUAUGUAUUUAAGGUGUGCAACAUGAUUUUUUGAUAUAGUGACAUAGUGAAAUGAUUAUAAUUGUUAAGAAAAUGAACACAGCUAUCAUCUCACAUAUUUACCUUUUUUGCGACAAGAGCACCUUAAAUCUACUCUCUUAACAAAAAUCCUAAAUAUGAAAUGUAUUAUAGUCCUUAUAUUUUGCAUUUGAUUUCUAGACUUAUUCUACAUCAUCUAUAACAACCACCAUUUUUUCUAUUUCUAUAUAUUUUCUUUCUUCCUUCCUUCCUUCUUUCCUUUCUUCCUUUUUUCUGAUAAGGAGUCUCGCUCUUUCGCCCAGGCUGGAGUGCAGUGGCGUGAUCUUGGCUCACUGCAAGCUCCGCCUCCCGGGUUCACGCCAUUCUCCUGCCUCAGCCUCCUGAGUAGCUGGGACUGCAGGCACCCACCACCAUGCCCAGCUAAUUUUUUGUAUUUUGUAUUUGCCUUCCUUUCUUUUUCAUUUCCUUCUUUCUGCCUUCUUUUCAUUCUUUUAUUUUUGUAGAUUCUUUAUAUAAGUGAGAUCCAAUACUUUUAACUGAAUGUGAACAUUUCUUUUACAAAAUAAAAUGUAUGUUCAGGCUUUUACUUAAUCCAUGCUAGUAAGAGCCUGGUUCAAAAAUGAGCUGCAGGUUUUUUCAAAGAGAAUCACAAUCAUUUCUGUGGAAUAGGUGAAGUGAAAGACAUUUUUAGAAAGUUUGCAUCUUUUUGCAGAGACUUUUAAUGAAGGGGUUUAUGUUUUCCGCUCUGUUCGUUUACUGAAAGCAAAAGAAGAAAAGUGAGGAAGGGAUUAUACAAAGAAAGUGACUGAAAAAUUCUGAAAAUAUCUGUUUUCAUAAGAUAAGAGCUUUAUUCUAGUUCUGAACAUAUAAUCAUAGUCAUCAUUGUCCUUAUUUAAAUAAAAACAGCUAGCUGGGCAACUUAGUCUCAUUGAAAUUCCUGAGAUCUUCAUUCUUUCUUGGUAUUUGGCUGAAAAAAGAAUAAGUUUAUCUCAUUCUUUUCCCAAAGUAUAGCACAAGGUUGAGAGCCUGGACUCGUGGCAUGCAUACCUAAUGAGACCGUUGUAUUACUUGGGGUGAAACUCCUUCCAUUUGACUUGAUGUAGUUAUUUUCUUUUUCUUGCAAGGGAAGCAAACUUUGGGUUCUACCUGGGUCUUCCUUAAGCAUCAGGUGUGUUUCAAAUGGAUAGAUUUAAUAAUAAUUGAUCCACUAAUAAUUGAUCCACUGGGCAAUGAUUUUUUAAAUGUUUGUUUUCAAAUUUAAAACAAUGCCUCAAGUUUAGAAAUGCCUCUCCUCGGCCGGGC
rnacentral:lncRNA from 10 species